rnacentral:tRNA from 2 species
GGUAAGAUGGCCGAGUUGGUCUAAGGCGUCAGGUUAAGGUCCUGAUCUCGUUUACGGGGCGUGAGUUCGAAUCUCACUCUUAUCA